UACGGAGGGUGCAAGCGUUAUCCGGAUUCACUGGGUUUAAAGGGUGCGUAGGUGGGCAGUUAAGUCAGUGGUGAAAUCUCCGGGCUUAACCCGGAAACUGCCAUUGAUACUAUCUGUCUUGAAUAUCGUGGAGGUAAGCGGAAUAUGUCAUGUAGCGGUGAAAAUGCUUAGAUAUGACAUAGAACACCAAUUGCGAAGGCAGCUCACUACGGGAUUAUUGACACUGAGGCACGAAAGCGUGGGGAUCAAACAGG
rnacentral:rRNA from 1 species